GGGCGGUUAGCUCAGCGGUAGAGCGCUCGCCUUACACGCGAUUGGUCGGGGGUUCAAAUCCCUCACCGCCCA
rnacentral:tRNA from 1 species